UUGGACAAUGGGCGAAAGCCUGAUCCAGCCAUGCCGCGUGUGUGAAGAAGGUCUUCGGAUUGUAAAGCACUUUAAGUUGGGAGGAAGGGCAGUAAGUUAAUACCUUGCUGUUUUGACGUUACCAACAGAAUAAGCACCGGCUAACUUCGUGCCAGCAGCCGCGGUAAU
rnacentral:rRNA from 1 species